AACGAACGCUGGCGGCAGGCUUAACACAUGCAAGUCGAACGCUCCGCAAGGAGAGUGGCAGACGGGUGAGUAACGCGUGGGAAUCUACCCAGAUCUACGGAACAACAGUUGGAAACGACUGCUAAUACCGUAUACGCCCUACGGGGAAAGAUUUAUCGGAUUUGGAUGAGCCCGCGUAAGAUUAGCUAGUUGGUGGGGUA
rnacentral:rRNA from 1 species